AUAUUAUCACAGAUAGACAUCUGAAAAACUAAAAUCUUAAACCAAUGCGAUGAUUUCAACUUUCUAAUCGUUGAUUGAGUGCCUGCUUACGAAAUAUUCGAUCCAAUAGAGUUACAAGGAUAAAUGUCUAAAAUAAACACGGCGUAAGUUACAAUCGUAAACUUGUUGACCGAUGCGGUAUGACUGUGUCUUAACCCACUACCGACAUGUUUUCACAGUCUUAGAUCUUUAGAAACUACAAUAGUAGUCUUAUUUGUAGUUUUAUCGAUUGUGUCCUGUUACCAAUUGUGACAUUAGUGCGGAUUUUACAUGGCAAGAGACGCUACAUGCCCACGCACCCUGUUUCCUACCUUACGGAGUUCAUGUGCUACCUUAGUUUGUACCUGGAUUCGUCUUCUUCAUCGAUUAAUUAGAAUUGAACAUCGGUAAAGCAUUAUUGCCUUAACAUUUAUUGUAUGAACUACAUUACCUCAAUGUUUGUCCUUUGAAUUUUGUUCUCUUUAACUCUUUCGAAACCGCAAAUAAUUAAUCUAAGUAUAAAUUAUUAUAGAUUCACAGUGUGCAAUAACAAA
rnacentral:lncRNA from 1 species